ensembl:lncRNA
CACAAGCCUAAUGGGUGUAGUCAAGCUUGUUGGAACUCUCUUGAGAUCAUCGAGUCCCUGGGCAUAUUUCCAGAUCAGUUUCUGACUGUGGGUACAGAUAGAACUGGAUAGGGCAAGAGUUCCUUGGCUCUUACUCGGAAGCAUCUUGAGGUGACUUCCCAGACUCACUUCCAGCCUUGCAAAUCCAGAAACACCCGCAGUAUGGCAGAAAUACCAAGGUCUUUUCACAUACACCCACCAAAGAGCUACAGCAGGCUGCUCCCUUAAUGCAGCGUGAACUGCUUUCCUGAC